rnacentral:rRNA from 1 species
GUGUCAGCCGCCGCGGUAAUACGGAGGAUGCAAGCGUUAUCCGGAUUCAUUGGGUUUAAAGGGUGCGUAGGCGGAAUAAUAAGUCAGUGGUGAAAGCCUGCGGCUUAACCGUAGAAUUGCCAUUGAUACUGUUAUUCUUGAGUAUAGUUGAGGUGGGCGGAAUGUGUAAUGUAGCGGUGAAAUGCUUAGAUAUUACACAGAACACCAAUUGCGAAGGCAGCUCACUAAGCUGUUACUGACGCUGAGGCACGAAAGCGUGGGGAGCAAACAGGAUUAGAAACCCCUGUAGUCC